GUCCCUAUGGCGCAGUGGUAGUGUGCUUUGCUCUUGUAUAUAGGGCAACUUGUGCAUGUCCUAUGUGACAAGUUGUCCUGUAUAGUGUUAAAGAGGUUGGGGGUUUAAUUUCUCCUAGGGGUA